rnacentral:rRNA from 1 species
UACGGAAGGGGCAAGCGUUGUUCGGAAUCAUUGGGCGUAAAGGGCUCGUAGGCGGCCAACUAAGUCAGACGUGAAAUCCCUCGGCUUAACCGGGGAACUGCGUCUGAUACUGGAUGGCUUGAGUUUGGGAGAGGGAUGCGGAAUUCCAGGUGUAGCGGUGAAAUGCGUAGAUAUCUGGAGGAACACCGGUGGCGAAGGCGGCAUCCUGGACCGGUAUUGACGCUGAGGCGCGAAAGCCAGGGGAGCAAACGGG